rnacentral:pre_miRNA from 1 species
CAAAUACUCCCUCCGUCCGGAAAUACUUGUCAUCAAAAUGGAUAAAAGGAAAUGUAUCUAGACGUAUUUUAGUUUUAGAUACAUAUCAUUUUAUCCAUUUUGAUGACAAGUAUUUUCGGAUGGAGGGAGUAUUUA